rnacentral:rRNA from 1 species
GACGAACGCUGGCGGCGUGCCUAAUACAUGCAGGUAGAACGCUGAAGAGAGGAGCUUGCUCUUCUUGGAAGGGUUGCGAACGGGUGAGUAACGCGUAGGUAACCUGCCUUGUAGCGGGGGAUAACUAUUGGAAACGAUAGCUAAUACCGCAUAACAAUGGGUGACCCAUGUCAUUCAUUUGAAAGGGGCAACUGCUCCACUACAAGAUGGACCUGCGUUGUAUUAGCUAGUAGGUGAGGUAACGGCUCACCUAGGCGACGAUACAUAGCCGACCUGAGAGGGUGAUCGGCCACACUGGGACUGAGACACGGCCCAGACUCCUACGGGAGGCAGCAGUAGGGAAUCUUCGACAAUGGGGGCAACCCUGACCGAGCAACGCCGCGUGAGUGAAGAAGGUUUUCGGAUCGUAAAGCUCUGUUGUAAGUCAAGAACGAGUGUGAGAGUGGAAAGUUCACACUGUGACGGUAGCUUACCAGAAAGGGACGGCUAACUACGUGCCAGCAGCCGCGGUAAUACGUAGGUCCCGAGCGUUGUCCGGAUUUAUUGGGCGUAAAGCGAGCGCAGGCGGUUUGAUAAGUCUGAAGUUAAAGGCUGUGGCUCAACCAUAGUUCGCUUUGGAAACUGUCAAACUUGAGUGCAGAAGGGGAGAGUGGAAUUCCAUGUGUAGCGGUGAAAUGCGUAGAUAUAUGGAGGAACACCGGUGGCGAAAGCGGCUCUCUGGUCUGUAACUGACGCUGAGGCUCGAAAGCGUGGGGAGCGAACAGG